UACGAAGGGUGCAAGCGUUAAUCGGAAUUACUGGGCGUAAAGCGCGCGUAGGUGGUUCGUUAAGUUGGAUGUGAAAGCCCCGGGCUCAACCUGGGAACUGCAUCCAAAACUGGCGAGCUAGAGUACGGUAGAGGGUGGUGGAAUUUCCUGUGUAGCGGUGAAAUGCGUAGAUAUAGGAAGGAACACCAGUGGCGAAGGCGACCACCUGGACUGAUACUGACACUGAGGUGCGAAAGCGUGGGGAGCGAACAGG
rnacentral:rRNA from 1 species